CCUACGGGUGGCAGCAGUGGGGAAUAUUGGGCAAUGGGCGCAAGCCUGACCCAGCAACGCCGCGUGAAGGAAGAAGGCUUUCGGGUUGUAAACUUCUUUUCUCAGGGACGAAGCAAGUGACGGUACCUGAGGAAUAAGCCACGGCUAACUACGUGCCAGCAGCCGCGGUAAUAAGUAGGUGGCAAGCGUUAUCCGGAUUUACUGGGUGUAAAGGGCGUGUAGGCGGGGACGAAAGUCAGAUGUGAAAACCACGGGCUCAACCUGUGGCCUGCGUUUGAAACUGUGUUUCUUGAGUACGGGGGAGGAAGGCGGAAUUCCUAGUGUAGCGGUGAAAUGCGUAGAUAUUAGGAGGAAAACCAGUGGCGAAGGCGUUCUGCUGGA
rnacentral:rRNA from 1 species